AUGGAAAUUUCGUUUUCAUUUUUGGAUCAGUCUGCUUGAUGAAUUUAAACGUAGUGAUUAUGUUUGCUCAUCUGCUUCUCCAAGUCAGCUUUAGUGUGGAGACCUGAACUCAUGGAAUCAUGGCUACUAAGUAGCAAGAGAAAUUAGUGCUACAGCUGUCCAGUUGUUUAAAAAACUAUAUAUGCCUUUUUGAGUUUCAAAUAUAUGACAAACCUUUGGAAUUGUCUCUUUUUCAUCUAAUAAGGAACGAAUGCUUUCAACCCAGAAGGUGUGAAUAAUUUUACAAUAAUUCACUAGAUGGCAUGUCUGGAUUCAGUGUAAAAACAAUCCUUCACAUAACUGAAAACUCCUUGAGGACAGAACCAGUAUAUUAUUCAUAAAGUUCACCUGGAACAGAGCCGGGCACAUCAAUGCAUGUUUAUUGAACAAAAUUACUUGGAUAAAGGAACAUUGUGAAGAUAAAUGAGAUAAAUCAUUUGAAGUGCUUUGGGCUCCACUGAU